AUAUUUACUGCUACCCGGAUUGAUACUAAUUUCAUGCGAGUCAUUGUAGUAAUACAAGGCAGACGGCUCAGUAACGCGUAGUCAACCUACCCUAUGGACGGGAAUAACCUCGGGAAACUGAGUAUAAUGCCCGAUAGAACACUAUACCUGGAAUGGUUUGUGUUCCAAAUGAUUUAUCGCCGUAGGAUGGGACUGCGGCCUAUCAGUUUGUUGGUGAGGUAAUGGCCCACCAAGACUAUUACAGGUACGGGCUCUGAGAGGAGUAGCCCGGAGAUGGGUACUGAGACACGGACCCAGGCCCUAUGGGGCGCAGCAGGCGAGAAAACUUUGCAAUGUGCGAAAGCACGACAAGGUUAAUCCGAGUGGUUUGUGCUAAACGAACCUUUUGACAGUCCUAGAAACACUGUUGAAUAAGGGGUGGGCAAGUUCUGGUGUCAGCCGCCGCGGUGAAACCAACACCUCAAGUGGUCAGGAUGAUUAUUGGGCCUAAAGCAUCCGUAGCCGGCUCUGUAAGUUUUCGGUUAGAUCUGUACGCUCAACG
rnacentral:rRNA from 1 species